GGUUAACGCUGGCGGCGUGCCUAACACAUGCAAGUCGAACGGUUCUAAGCGCGAGCUUAGGAUAGUGGCGAACGGGUGAGUAAAAGGUAGGAAUCUACCCCUUGGACGGAGAUAGCUACUGGAAACGGUAGGUAAACUUCGAUAAGCCCGAGAGGGGAAAGUGGUGAGACAGCCGAGGGAUGAGCCUACUCUCCAUCAGGUAGUUGGUGAGAUAAAAGCUUACCAAGCCGAUGACGGAUAACCGGUGUGAGAGCAUGAACGGUCACAAGGGCACUGAGAGACGGGCCCUACUCCUACGGGAGGCAGCAGUGGGGAAUCUUGGACAAUGGGCGAAAGCCUGAUCCAGCGACGCCGCGUGGAGGAAGAAGUCCUUCGGGAUGUAAACUUCUGAACUAGCCGAAUAAAAGGACCUGUGGACACACAGGAGAAGAAAGUAAGGACUAGGAAAAGUCCCGGCUAACUACGUG
rnacentral:rRNA from 1 species